rnacentral:rRNA from 1 species
UACGGGGGGGGCAAGCGUUGUUCGGAAUUACUGGGCGUAAAGGGCUCGUAGGCGGCCCUGUCAGUCGGGUGUGAAAUCCCCGGGCUCAACCUGGGAACUGCAUUCAAAACUGUCGAGCUAGAGUAUGGUAGAGGGUGGUGGAAUUUCCUGUGUAGCGGUGAAAUGCGUAGAUAUAGGAAGGAACACCAGUGGCGAAGGCGACCACCUGGACUGAUACUGACACUGAGGUGCGAAAGCGUGGGGAGCAAACAGG